UAUGUGAUCGUCUCUCGCAUAUCAAUAAGCGGAGGAAAAGAAACUAACAAGGAUUCCCCUAGUAACGGCGAGUGAAGCGGGAAGAGCUCAAAUUUGAAAUCUUAAAGGGUUUCCCUUUACGAAUUGUAGUUUAAAGAAGUGUUUUCUGUUGAGGUUUUGGUAAAAGUUCUUUGGAAUAGGACAUCAUAGAGGGUGAGAAUCCCGUAUUUGACCUUUACUUUCAACUUUGUGAUACACUUUCAAAGAGUCAGAUUGUUUGGGAAUGCAGUCCAAAAUGGGUGGUAAAUUUCAUCUAAAGCUAAAUAUUGGCGAGAGACCGAUAGCGAACAAGUACCGUGAGGGAAAGAUGAAAAGAACUUUGAAAAGAGAGUUAAACAGUACGUGAAAUUGUCAAAAGGGAAGCGUUUGACACCAGUGUUGUUUUUCUGAAAAUCAAUUAAAGAACUGUUUAUGCUAAGUUGUUUAGACUUUAUCAGCUAUCUGCUUAGUUUUGAGCUUUUCUUUAAUGCACUUUUCAGUUAACAAGUCAACAUCAAUUUCUUUUGCUGUAAAAAAGCUUGAGGAAGGUGGCUUGAGAUUCGUCUUAAGUGUUUAUAGCCUCUUGCCUAUGCAGUCGGAGAGAUUGAGGUCUGCAGCGUAGAUCCUUCGGGGCUAAAUGCAUUUGUGCUAAGUUAUAACAUUUUAUAGACAACUUGUUGACUAUGAUUUGUCUUGUAGCUUACUCGCUUAUGUUAUUUUACCUACGCUUAGGAUGUUGAGUAGCGACAUACGCAC
rnacentral:rRNA from 1 species